rnacentral:rRNA from 1 species
AGAACGAACGCUGGCGGCAUGCCUAACACAUGCAAGUCGAACGCUCUUGGGGCUUCGGUCUCAGGGGAGUGGCGCACGGGUGAGUAGCGCGUGGGAACCUGCCCUGUUGUGGGGGAUAACCGAGGGAAACUUCGGCUAAUACCGCAUAAGCCGGUUGUCUUGAAGGAGAUGGCCGGGAAAGAUUUAUCGCGACAGGAGGGGCCCGCGUCGGAUUAGCUAGUUGGUGGGGUAACGCCCACCAAGGCGGUGAUCCGUAGCUGGUCUGAGAGGAUGAUCAGCCACACUGGGACUGAGACACGGCCCAGACUCCUACGGGAGGCAGCAGUGGGGAAUAUUGGACAAUGGGCGCAAGCCUGAUCCAGCAAUGCCGCGUGAGUGAUGAAGGCCUUAGGGUUGUAAAGCUCUUUCGCCCGCGACGAUGAUGACGGUAGCGGGAGAAGAAGCCCCGGCUAACUUCGUGCCAGCAGCCGC